GAGCAAGAGGUACGUCAAUGAAUCAAGACGAGCCCCUUGCAUUUGAAAGGUUGGUGCAACAGAGAAACAUCGCGAUUCUCGUGCCUUCAAAUUUAUAUUUUCAUUUUAUUACGGCUCGAACAAAUCGCUACAUU